rnacentral:rRNA from 1 species
AUUGAACGCUGGCGGCAGGCCUAACACAUGCAAGUCGAACGAGUGGCGGACGGGUGAGUAAUGUCUGGGAAACUGCCUGAUGGAGGGGGAUAACUACUGGAAACGGUAGCUAAUACCGCAUACCAUCAGAUGUGCCCAGAUGGGAUUAGCUUGUUGGUGGGGUAACGGCUCACCAAGGCGACGAUCCCUAGCUGGUCUGAGAGGAUGACGAGGCACAGUGUAAGUGAGACACGGUCCAGACGCCUACGGUGGGCAGCAGUGGGGAAUAGUGCACAAGGGGCGCAAGCCGUAUGCAGCCAUGCCGCGUGUAUGAAGAAGGCCUUCGGGUUGUAAAGUACUGUCCGCGGGAAGGCGUUACCCGCAGAAGAAGCACAGGCUAACGCCGUGCCAGCAGCCGCGGUAAUAC